GAUGAACGCUCGCUACAGGCUUAACACAUGCAAGUCGAGGGGAAACGACAUCGAAAGCUUGCUUUUGAUGGGCGUCGACCGGCGCACGGGUGAGUAACGCGUAUCCAACCUGCCCAUCACUUGGGAAUAACCUUGCGAAAGUAAGACUAAUACCCAAUGACAUCCCACGAAGACAUCUGAAUGGGAUUAAAGAUUUAUCGGUGAUGGAUGGGGAUGCGUCUGAUUAGCUUGUUGGCGGGGUAACGGCCCACCAAGGCAACGAUCAGUAGGGGUUCUGAGAGGAAGGUCCCCCACAUUGGAACUGCGACACGGUCCAAACUCCUACGGGAGGCAGCAGUGAGGAAUAUUAGUCAAUGGGCGAGAGCCUGAACCAGCCAAGUAGCGUGCAGGAGGACGGCCCUAUGGGUUGUAAACUGCUUUUAUAAGGGAAUAAAGUGGGUAUCGUGAGACUUUUUGCAUGUACCUUAUGAAUAAGGACCGGCUAAUUCCGUG
rnacentral:rRNA from 1 species